AUCAUUUAAAGAAAGCGUAAUAGCUCACUGGUCGAGUCGGCCUGCGCGGAAGAUGUAACGGGGCUAAACCAUGCACCGAAGCUGCGGCAGCGACACUGUGUGUUGUUGGGUAGGGGAGCGUUCUGUAAGCCUGCGAAGGUGGCCUGUGAGGGUUGCUGGAGGUAUCAGAAGUGCGAAUGCUGACAUAAGUAACGAUAAAGCGGGUGAAAAGCCCGCUCGCCGGAAGACCAAGGGUUCCUGUCCAACGUUAAUCGGGGCAGGGUGAGUCGACCCCUAAGGCGAGGCCGAAAGGCGUAGUCGAUGGGAAACGGGUUAAUAUUCCCGUACUUGGUGUUACUGCGAAGGGGGGACGGAGAAGGCUAUGUUGGCCGGGCGACGGUUGUCCCGGUUUAAGCGUGUAGGUGUGUGUUCCAGGUAAAUCCGGUUCACUUUAACACUGAGGCGUGACGACGAGGCACUACGGUGCUGAAGCAACAAAUGCCCUGCUUCCAGGAAAAGCCUCUAAGCAUCAGGUAACAUCAAAUCGUACCCCAAACCGACACAGGUGGUCAGGUAGAGAAUACCAAGGCGCUUGAGAGAACUCGGGUGAAGGAACUAGGCAAAAUGGUGCCGUAACUUCGGGAGAAGGCACGCUGACA
rnacentral:rRNA from 1 species